rnacentral:lncRNA from 1 species
ACCAUCAUGAUCAAACCAUUUUCGCAUGGCUAUACACAUACAAUUUUCAAACCAAAUAUAUCAAAACUAGCCUAUACAUGCCACAUAACCAAAACUCAAAGCAUUUAUUUACCAAAGUGAAAACUAGAUAGUGUGAUGUGGUCUCCUAUGACUUCCAAUCCGAGCAAGUCUCCGAAACUCUAUAAACAUAGGAAAAAUACAAAAAGUAAGCUUUGAAAGCUUAGUAAGCCAUAAGCAAAUAAUUCAUCACAGUAACAUAUAUAAUUCAAUUCUAAUAGACUGAAUUUAGUUAAUCUCAUACACCUAUACAACCACUUUUCUCAUAUAAUCCAUAUUGUCACAUUACACAACUUCACUUACCUUAUUUAUCAAUGAACAUAUAAACCAUGCUUUAAAAUUCAACCAUUUCAAUCUCAUUUAUCAGUUCAAAAUUCAAAUUAACUACCAUACAUCAAAGUCAUAUCACACAUGCUUUAUUAUUCAACUAUUCGAAC